rnacentral:rRNA from 1 species
UACGUAGGGUGCGAGCGUUUAAUCGGAAUUACUGGGCGUAAAGCGUGCGCAGGCGGUGAUGUAAGACCGAUGUGAAAUCCCCGGGCUUAACCUGGGAACUGCCUUUGAUACUAUUGGUCUUGAAUGUUGUGGAGGUGGGCGGAACGGGUCAUGUAGCGGUGAAAUGCAUAGAUAUGACCCGGAACACCGAUUGCGAAGGCAGCCCGCUACGCAACGAUUGACGCUGAGCACGAAAGCGUGGGGAUCAAACAGGG